ACUAGCUGUGCCCGCGGCGCCCGGGCUAUAUAACCCUCCACGCCGCCCCUCCCCCGCGACACGUGAUCCGGGCCCGGGGUACGGGGAGCGCCCAGGGACCGCGUCCCCAGCGCCGCGAGCCUACAGGGGUGGGGGCGCAGCCUGGGAGGGAGGAAGUUCUGCAGGGUGAGAGGGCUGCCUGGAAGAGGAUCCCAGCCCAGGAUAAUGUGAACAAACAAGUUGUGCCAGUGCCCAGGGCCAGUAAGGGAUUCAACGGAUUCCUCCCCAAGGGACGGACUGGCAGGGAGUCUUCGAAUAAAAAUGCGGCGGGCCUCGGCCUCCCCAACUCUCCGGAGAAGUAAACCUGAUAGGAUAGUAGCGAGGUGGGAAGAGGAGGUGACAGGCGACCGAUAGGACAGCCUCGGCCUCCACCUCCAAAAUGGGAGAAAAGGGGAGGAGACGACAGUGCUGGAGACCCGUGACUAGCUUUGCCAGGCUGUGGAAUUUGAACUGUGGAAAGCCCUCAAAGACAGUCACUUCCAUUAUUUAAUCAAUGUUGCACUACAAACAUGGAGAAGAAAAAGGAAUGAAUGCUUCUUUCACAUGGACCUCAUCUUGAUUUGGUUUCUAAACCACCGGACCUCCUCUCCCCUUCUGAAUGCCGGCUCUUAGUCUGUUAGCCAUGACCCCUUCCUUUCUCUAUCUGAAAUAUGUAACUCAAGUAAAAGCACUCAAAAGAUAGAUCUCAA